CACCCGGAAGUGCUUCCACAGACACAGCGGGGAUGAAGUUAAAACUCAGAAGUGUUAGCACUCUGUCUGCUGCUGAUCAAGAAUGGACAGGCUAUGGUGUCUGAGGCCCUAUCAACUACUAGAAGAGCGCUGGCCUCCCAGCACAGAGAGGAGCUUCAAGAUCACAAGGUGUCCAGAGUUUCUUCUUCACAAUGACCUUCUGAACAAGAGGUCUCCAAGAAGCCUGUUCCAGGACCUGCC